AGUAACACGUGGAUAACCUACCUAUAAGACUGGGAUAACUUCGGGAAACCGGAGCUAAUACCGGAUAAUAUAUUGAACCGCAUGGUUCAAUAGUGAAAGACGGUUUUGCUGUCACUUAUAGAUGGAUCCGCGCUGCAUUAGCUAGUUGGUAAGGUAACGGCUUACCAAGGCAACGAUGCAUAGCCGACCUGAGAGGGUGAUCGGCCACACUGGAACUGAGACACGGUCCAG
rnacentral:rRNA from 1 species